rnacentral:rRNA from 1 species
AAUAUGCUUAGUGGCGGACGGGUGAGUAACGCGUGAACAAUCUGCCCUAUACAAAGGAAUAGCCUCGGGAAACUGGGAUUAAAACCGUAUAACACUUAAGUAUCGCAUGGUACAUAAGUCAAAUUGAUUAAGAGGUAUAGGAUGAGUUCGCGUCUGAUUAGCUAGUUGGUGAGGUAAUGGCUCACCAAGGCGACGAUCAGUAGCCGGCCUGAGAGGGUGAACGGCCACACUGGAACUGAGACACGGUCCAGACUCCUACGGGAGGCAGCAGUGGGGAAUAUUGCACAAUGGGCGAAAGCCUGAUGCAGCGACGCCGCGAGAGUGAAGAAGGUCUUCGGAUCGUAAAACUCUGUCCUUGGUGAAGAAAAAAAUGACGGUAGCCAAGGAGGAAGCCCCGGCUAACUACGUGCCAGCAGCCGCGGUAAUACGUAGGGGGCGAGCGUUGUCCGGAUUUACUGGGCGUAAAGGGUGAGUAGGCGGUUGUAUAAGUCAGAUGUAAAAGGCGUAGGCUCAACUUACGUAAGCGUUUGAAACUGUACAACUUGAGUGCAGGAGAGGUAAGUGGAAUUCCUAGUGUAGCGGUGAAAUGCGUAGAUAUUAGGAGGAACACCAGUGGCGAAGGCGACUUACUGGACUGUAACUGACGCUGAGUCACGAAAGCGUGGGUAGCAAACAGGAUUAGAUACCCUGGUAGUCCACGCUGUAAACGAUGAGUGCUAGGUGUUGGGUAGCGAUAUUCAGUGCCGAAGUUAACACAAUAAGCACUCCGCCUGGGGAGUACGGUCGCAAGACUGAAACUCAAAGGAAUUGACGGGGACCCGCACAAGCAGCGGAGCAUGUGGUUUAAUUCGAAGCAACGCGAAGAACCUUACCAAGGUUUGACAUCCCCUUGACAGAUGCAGAGAUGUGUCCUCCCCUUNGGGG